AUACGGAGGGUGCAAGCGUUAUCCGGAUUUACUGGGUUUAAAGGGUACGCAGGCGGUAAUUUAAGUCAGUGGUGAAAGCCUACAGCUCAACUGUAGAACUGCCAUUGAAACUGAAUUACUUGAGUAUGGUAGAGGUAGGCGGAAUACAACAUGUAGCGGUGAAAUGCGUAGAUAUGUUGUAGAACACCGAUUGCGAAGGCAGCUUACUAAACCAUUACUGACGCUCAUGUACGAAAGCGUGGGGAGCGAACAGGAUUAGAAACCCUAGUAGUCC
rnacentral:rRNA from 1 species